AGAGUUUGAUCAUGGCUCAGGACGAACGCUGGCGGCGUGCUUAACACAUGCAAGUUGAACGGGAUUCGCUCUAUGAAGUGUAAUAGCGAAUUAGAGUGAUGAGAGUAGCGGACGGGCGAGUAACGCGUGAGUAACCUGCCCCUUGCUGGGGGAUAACAUCGGGAAACCGGUGCUAAUACCGCAUAAGACCACAGUGCCACAUGGUACAGCGGUCAAAGCUCCGGCGGCAAAGGAUGGACUCGCGUCCAAUUAGCUAGUUGGUAGGGUAACGGCCUACCAAGGCGACGAUUGGUAUCCGAACUGAGAGGUUGAUCGGACGCAUUGGGACUGAGACACGGCCCAGACUCCUACGGGAGGCAGCAGUGGGGAAUAUUGCGCAAUGGGGGCAACCCUGACGCAGCAACGCCGCGUGAAGGAUGAAGGCUUUCGGGUUGUAAACUUCUUUGAUCGGGGACGAAGAUGACGGUACCCGAGGAACAAGCCACGGCUAACUACGUGCCAGCAGCCGCGGUAAUACGUAGGUGGCAAGCGUUGUCCGGAAUUACUGGGUGUAAAGGGCGUGUAGGCGGGGAGACAAGUCAGAUGUGAAAUACCGUGGCUUAACUGCGGGGGUGCAUCUGAAACUGUUUCUCUUGAGUGUCGGAGAGGAAAGUGGAAUUCCCAGUGUAGCGGUGAAAUGCGUAGAGAUUGGGAGGAACACCAGUGGCGAAGGCGACUUUCUGGACGAUAACUGACGCUGAGGCGCGAAAGCGUGGGUAGCAAACAGGAUUAGAUACCCUGGUAGUCCACGCCGUAAACGAUGGAUACUAGGUGUAGGAGGUAUCGACCCCUUCUGUGCCGCAGUUAACACAAUAAGUAUCCCACCUGGGGAGUACGGCCGCAAGGUUGAAACUCAAAUGAAUUGACGG
rnacentral:rRNA from 1 species